rfam:Camelus ferus unplaced genomic scaffold scaffold331, whole genome shotgun sequence.
GAGGGUAGAGCUCAGUGGUAGAGUGCAUGCUUAUUAGCCUACAUGGGGUCCUGGGUUCAAUCCCCAGUGCCUCCA